UGGUAACCUGCCUGUAAGACUGGGAUAACUCCGGGAAACCGGGGCUAAUACCGGAUGCUUGAUUGAACCGCAUGGUUCAAUUAUAAAAGGUGGCUUUUAGCUACCACUUACAGAUGGACCCGCGGCGCAUUAGCAGUUGGUGAGGUAACGGCUCACCAAGGCGACGAUGCGUAGCCGACCUGAGAGGGUGAUCGGCCACCUGGGACUGAGACACGGCCCAGACUCCUACGGGAGGCAGCAGUAGGGAAUCUUCCGCAAUGGACGAAAGUCUGACGGAGCAACGCCGCGUGAGUGAUGAAGGUUUUCGGAUCGUAAAACUCUGUUGUUAGGGAAGAACAAGUACCUUCGAACAGGGCGGUGCCUUGACGGUACCUAACCAGAAAGCCACGGCUAACUACGUGCCAGCAGCCGCGGUAAUACGUAGGUGGCAAGCGUUGUCCGGAAUUAUUGGGCGUAAAGCGCGCGCAGGGGUUUCUUAAGUCUGAUGUGAAAGCCCCCGGCUCAACCGGGGAGGGUCAUUGGAAACUGGGGAACUGAGUGCAGAAGAGGAGAGUGGAAUUCCACGUGUAGCGGUGAAAUGCGUAGAGAUGUGGAGGAACACCAGUGGCGAAGCGACUCUCUGGUCUGUAACUGACGCUGAGGCGCGAAAGCGUGGGGAGCGAACAGGAUUAGAUACCCUGGUAGUCCACGCCGUAAACGAUGAGUGCUAAGUGUUAGAGGGUUUCCGCCCUUUAGUGCGCAGCAACGCAUUAAGCACUCCGCCUGGGGAGUACGGUCGCAAGACUGAAACUCAAAGGAAUUG
rnacentral:rRNA from 1 species